GUUAAAAAAAAACGUUGCGUACACUACGCAAAAGUUGGGAUUCUGUUGGGUUUAGUCUGCUCGUACCGUAGCAGACGGGUUGGAAGAUGUCUGUGCAAGUGUUUGUAAUGAAAAAGUCUCAUAAUCUCAUAAGAAACCUACGUGGACCACCCAACAAAAGAGGUGGCCCAGAGUCCUUGGAUCAUGACUACCUGGCCUGACAACACCAAGCUGACCUUGUCCAAAGCCGCUGUCCACAGCCCACAUGGUGGACCUUGUCUACCUGGUUGAACAGCUCGUCUGGAUUCAGUCUGAAGAAAGGACACAGUUCACCUAUGUUUAUUGAGCUGCUGGUCUUCUGAACAUGCACACAUAUGAAUGUGACUUUAAAGGUAAUCCAAUCUGAUCUCACCAGCAAAAGCAGAAGACAACACCUCAUACUCCGACUACUAUUUGAUUGAUAUUUGAUAUGUCAGCAACGUUAGAUCAGAGGAAUGUUCCCAUAUUGUGUACAAACUUUUACCUUUACAUCUCAUGUGCUAGGGAUAAGUAGUUAUUAGAGGGGGCAGGUAUCAAUGUAAUGUUUUAUGUGAAGCUAUUAAAUAAAUCCAAAGUCACAUUUAUAUUGUACGAAUUAUAAUCACUUUCUUUUAAUAAAGUUUGUUUGCAAUA